rnacentral:snRNA from 1 species
AUCGCUUCUCAGCCUUUUGGCUAAGGUCAAGUGUAGUAUCUGUUCUUAUUAGUUUAAUAUCUGAUACGUCCUCUAUCCAAUAAAGCUUCCAUUUUCAACAUAAGCCAGCUUUGGUAACUUUC